AGUGAACGCUGGCGGUAGGCCUAACACAUGCAAGUCGAACGGCAGCACAGUAAGAGCUUGCUCUUACGGGUGGCGAGUGGCGGACGGGUGAGGAAUACAUCGGAAUCUACUUUUUCGUGGGGGAUAACGUAGGGAAACUUACGCUAAUACCGCAUACGACCUACGGGUGAAAGCAGGGGGUCUUCGGACCUUGCGCGAUUGAAUGAGCCGAUGUCGGAUUAGCUAGUUGGCGGGGUAAAGGCCCACCAAGGCGACGAUCCGUAGCUGGUCUGAGAGGAUGAUCAGCCACACUGGAACUGAGACACGGUCCAGACUCCUACGGGAGGCAGCAGUGGGGAAUAUUGGACAAUGGGCGCAAGCCUGAUCCAGCCAUACCGCGUGGGUGAAGAAGGCCUUCGGGUUGUAAAGCCCUCUUGUUGGGAAAGAAAAGCAGCAGGUUAAUACCCCGCUGUUCUGACGGUACCCAAAGAAUAAGCACCGGCUAACUUCGUG
rnacentral:rRNA from 1 species